AACGCGAAGAACCUUACCUACCCUUGACAUCCUGCGAAUCUAACUGAGAGGUUGGAGUGCCGAAAGGAGCGCAGAGACAGGUGCUGCAUGGCUGUCGUCAGCUCGUGUUGUGAGAUGUUGGGUUAAGUCCCGUAACGAGCGCAACCCUUGUCCUUAGUUGCCAGCAUUAAGUUGGGUACUCUAAGGAGACUGCCGGUGAGGAACCGGAGGAAGGCGGGGACGAGGUCAAGUCAUCAUGGCCUUUAUGGGUAGGGCUACACACGUGCUACAAUGGGGCGUACAGAGGGUCGCGAACCUGCGAAGGGGAGCCAAUCCCGAGAAAGCGUCUCGUAGUCCGGAUUGGAGUCUGCAACUCGACUCCAUGAAGUUGGAAUCGCUAGUAAUCGCGAAUCAGCAUUGUCGCGGUGAAUACGUUCCCGGGCCUUGUACACACCGAGACGAC
rnacentral:rRNA from 1 species